rnacentral:rRNA from 1 species
GACGAACGCUGGCGGCGUGCCUAAUACAUGCAAGUAGAACGCACAGUUUAUACCGUAGCUUGCUACACCAUAGACUGUGAGUUGCGAACGGGUGAGUAACGCGUAGGUAACCUGCCUGGUAGCGGGGGAUCACUAUUGGAAACGAUAGCUAAUACCGCAUAAUAUUCAUUAUUGCAUGAUAAUUAAUUGAACGGUGCAAUUGCACCACUACCAGAUGGACCUGCGUUGUAUUAGCUAGUAGGUGAGGUAACGGCUCACCUAGGCGACGAUACAUAGCCGACCUGAGAGGGUGAGCGGCCACACUGGGACUGAGACACGGCCCAGACUCCUACGGGAGGCAGCAGUAGGGAAUCUUCGGCAAUGGACGAAAGUCUGACCGAGCAACGCCGCGUGAGUGAAGAAGGUUUUCGGAUCGUAAAGCUCUGUUGUAAGAGAAGAAAGGGUGUGAGAGUGGAAAGUUCACACUGUGACGGUAUCUUACCAGAAAGGGACGGCUAACUACGUG